UGAUUUUCUUCAGUGAAAGAAUACAGCUCAGUUCUCUUUUAAACAAGUGACCGCUAAAGUUCCAUUACUAUGAUCUGAUAAUACACCAAUAACAACAGUUGCUAGCCCACAUCCUUACCCUAAGGUUACAAAUUCUCAUUGUGUUUCAAUAUUUGCACAGAACAAAAGGAAUCUAUAACUUAUACAUAGGACAGAGAUCAUACCCUCAUUUCCAACUCAGAUGACCAUCCACCAUUGUAAAUGUAACAAGUUGAAUGUAAGGCAUUUUUAUCAUAUUGAAUCGUCUGAUUCAUCAGAAUCACUUCUC
rnacentral:misc_RNA from 1 species